rnacentral:miRNA from 1 species
UGCCUGGCAUUUCUCUGUUCACU